UCACAAUUCAAUUGAUCGGCUUCAACCAUGAGUUUAGUGGCAGUUCUUACACUGGGUCUUGUCCUCUGGACCGAGGGUUCCAGUGCAGAUAUUGUGGUCACUCAGUCUCCAGCCAUUCUGUCUGCUCUUCCCGGCAGCACUGUGACCUUCUCGUGCAAGACAGACACCAAGGUAGAUGAUGAUAUGUGCUUAUAUCAAAAAGCGCUUGGACAAACACACAAGCUUUUAUUUUAUGACAGCGUCAAGCAAAGUGGGGUGUCUGACCGAGUUUCAGUCUCUGGAUAUGACUACGAUUUUACCUUCACAAUCACAAAUGUUCAACUGGAGGAUGCAGGCUUUUAUUACUGUCAGCAGAGUGAAGCUUCUCCUCGCACAGUGAUACACAGUCGUACAAAAACCCCUCAGAUGUUUGUCUUCUCAAGUCGCUGGGCCUUGAAAAAUGAAACUUUAUAAUAA